UACGUAGGGUGCGAGCGUUGUCCGGAAUUACUGGGCGUAAAGAGCUCGUAGGUGGUUUGUCGCGUUGUCCGUGAAAACUCACAACUCAAUUGUGGGCGUGCGGGCGAUACGGGCAGACUGGAGUACUGCAGGGGAGACUGGAAUUCCUGGUGUAGCGGUGGAAUGCGCAGAUAUCAGGAGGAACACCGGUGGCGAAGGCGGGUCUCUGGGCAGUAACUGACGCUGAGAGACGAAAGCUAGGGGAGCGAAUGGG
rnacentral:rRNA from 1 species